rnacentral:lncRNA from 1 species
UUUGAAUUUGGGAGAAAACCUACAGUUUUUUUGUAGUAUAAAUGCAUCACUUUAAUACCUUGGACGUUAGCUCCUUUUGAUUCUAGAAUUAGUUAAUUGCUCUUAACUUCUUUUGGAAGCUUUUGCAUUUCACAUUCAAUUACAAGAUUUUAUUUAUUCUUUAAUUUAUGCAGCUUUAGUUUCAAAACUUUAAUGUCAAUUUUAUGACAUUUAGAGCUUUUAUUUUGG